CCAGACGGCCGGAUGGCCGCGCCGCGGCACGCGAAAGCAGCCGCGGUGAGGAAAGUCCGGGCUCCACGGAAACACGGUGCCGGCUAACGGCCGGCGGGGGCGACCCCAGGGAAAGUGCCACAGAAAGCAAACCGCCCGCCGGGCUCUCGGGCGCGGCGCGGCAAGGGUGAAAGGGUGCGGUAAGAGCGCACCGCGGCUCCGGCAACGGCGCCGGCACGGCAAACCCCACCGGGAGCAAGACCGAAUAGGGACGGCAUGCCGCCUCCUCGCGGGGCGCAGGCGGGUUUCCGCGCCGCCGUCCGGGUGGGUCGCGCGAGGCGUCCGGCAACGGGCGUCCCAGAGGAAUGGCCAUCCCGCGCCGGGGCUCGCCCCGGCCGGACAGAACCCGGCUUACAGGCCGUCUGGCGGC
rnacentral:RNase_P_RNA from 1 species